UCUCAAUUCAUCGUUUCUAACGGGAUCUUUUUUCUCCUCUCUCACAAAAUCAUCGAUCAAAAAGCCACCCAUUAGAAAAAAAGAAAAUUGAAGGUAAAAAAAAUUAAAAAUUGAAAAAAAAAAGAAUUAGAAUUGUUGAUAAGGUUGGAGGUGGGGAAAAAUGGAUCUGUGGACCGUGCAUGUAAAGAACGCGAGCUUAGGCCCUCCUGUUUGGAUGAGGAUUUGUAAACCCGGUUCCAGUUUUAUGGGUAAAGUUGGAGUUUUUGAGAUCAAUGUCUUGAAACGCAGACUCGUUUCAUCUCAUACUCAGAAUCAUAAGUUGCUUGUUACUUCUAUGGCCAAGAAGAACCACGACAGCAACCCAUCUUCGCCUGGUAA
rnacentral:lncRNA from 1 species